GAAAGGCUGUUCUAGGAAUGAAAGGGAGGAGAAUCUGCUGCCCUCUUUUCAUUUUACUGGCCACACCUCCCCAACAUGGUCUGCCAAGAGAAACGGGUCUGAGAAAAGCAGCAUGAUUCUCACCACAGCUCUUUAGCAAGUUUCCAGGGGUUUUCAGCAUAGCAGGCAGCUGCUUCCCAAAUUCAGCUCUGCUCCCUCCUCCUGGUUGAGCUGCUUCGUGUAUAAACUCCGCCCGGCCAGCACACACCUCCUGACGCUCUUGAGUGGUGGCCAAAGCCUGUUAGGAGUGAAGCAGUUAAAAAGGCUUAGUCCUGGAAAAGUAGAGGAGGUGAAAACCUGCCUGGGGAGGCUGCUGAAGGACGCCAGGAAGAAUUCUUAUCUCCAAAUUCGAUCCUACCUCCCAGCUAGCUGCUGGUGUUUGAAAUUCCAACUCUGAAGUGUUAGUCUGGUAUCUCCUUUUAAAAUGUAGAAGAGAGUAAACAAAGUUUUUCACA